rnacentral:rRNA from 1 species
CGGUUUGGUCAGUCCUCCGGGAAAUCUGAUAGCUCAACUAUUAGGCUUUCGGGGGAUACUGCCAGACUUGGAACCGGGAGAGGUAAGAGGUACUACAGGGGUAGGAGUGAAAUCUUGUAAUCCCUGUGGGACCACCUGUGGCGAAGGCGUCUUACCAGAACGGGUUCGACGGUGAGGGACGAAAGCUGGGGGCACGAACCGGAUUAGAUACCCGGGUAGUCCCAGCCGUAAACGAUGCUCGCUAGGUGUCAGGCAUGGCGCGACCGUGUCUGGUGCCGCAGGGAAGCCGUGAAGCGAGCCACCUGGGAAGUACGGCCGCAAGGCUGAAACUUAAAGGAAUUGGCGGGGGAGCACCACAAGGGGUGAAGCCUGCGGUUCAAUUGGACUCAACGCCGGGAAACUUACCGGGGGCGACAGCAGAAUGAAGGACAGGCUGACGACCUUACCAGACAAGCUGAGCGGAGGUGCAUGGCCGUCGCCAGUUCGUGCCGUGAGGUAUCCUGUUAAGUCAGGCAACGAACGAGACCCACAUGUCUAGUUGCCAGCAAGAGGCUUCGGCUUCGUUGGGAACGCUGGACAGACUGCCAUCGUACAGAUGGAGGAAGGGGUGGGCCACGGCAGGUCCGCAUG